UGCUCUUUGAAAAAUAUUAAUGAAGAAUAAGGAGUACUGCCUGCCCAGUGACGUUGUUCAACGGCUGCGGUAUUUUGACCGUGCAAAGGUAGCAUAAUCAUUUGCCUUUUAAAAGAAGGCUGGAAUGAAUGGCAAGACGGAAUUAAGCUGUCUCUUUUUUAAAACUUGAAUUUUAUAUCCUUGUGAAGAAGCGGGGAUUAGGUCGUAGGACGAGAAGACCCUAUUGAGCUUAAAUUAAUUUAUAGGAUUUUAUUAUAGUCUUAUUUACUAAUAAAUUUAUUUUGUAAAAAUGUAAGUUAUAAAUGAGAUAAGAAAGGCUUAUAAUAGAAUUUUGAUUGGGGUAAUUGUGAAGAAUAAGAAACCUUCAUUCAGGUUUAUAAAAAUUUAAAAUUUAAGAUUGAAAAGUGAAGUGAUCCACAGAAAGGAGUGAAUAAAGGAAUAAGUUACCAUAGGGAUAACAGCGUAAUUCUUUUGGAGAGUUCAUAUUGAUAAAAGAGUUUGCGACCUCGAUGUUGGAUCGAGAUUUCCUAAAAAUGCAGAAGUUAAAAAGGGUUGGUCUGUUCGACCAUUAAAAUCUU
rnacentral:rRNA from 1 species